ensembl:lncRNA
GAGGAGGAGCAUUUUCAGAUGAGAAUACUGAGGCUCCUAGAAUUCACUCAGAGCUGUUACCUGGAGCUCUCAAAGUCCCGAUUACUACAAGGGAGAAUUGAAAACAAACCACUCUUGGACUCUGAGCAGAAGUGGCAGCAAUAUCUCUGCUUAGAAAUCUGCAGGUGAAGGAUGGAGCGAGGGUCUGUUUCUCAUUAGAGUUCUUGGCAAACGUUUUGAGGCGCAUCUGGAAAAGAAGGAUGAUCAAGACACCACUCAGCACAGUGCCUGGGAUAUAACAGCCACCCCUGCCACCUGCCACACACAGGUUGUGAAGUGCAUGAGCGAAUGAAUGAAAAACUCCCCGACACCACGCUGGAGGCUGGACCCAGUCCACCCUCCUCACCUCCAGCAAGGAAUUUUCCAAAGAAAUUUCUGGAGAUUAUCAGUGACACUGUGUGAAAUAUUGAGAUUUGGAAAAGAAGGGAGAUAACCCCUUCUAGCUCCAAAUAGCUU